CUUCAAUGCCAAUUUAUUAAGUUAUAUCUAUGAAAUACAUUAACACAUAAUAACUUUCAUUCAUAGAGAUUGGAAUCCAUAUGAUAGUGUCCAAAGGCAUGGGACGUGUAUGAGUUAAUUACAUAUCCAAAUAACAUACAAUAUGCAUUGUACCUUGGGCUUGUGGCGUUUUAACAUAAAACAAAAUCAAUAAAAGCACAUGGGGCUUAUCAUUAAAGUCACACAAACACUGUCAUUUGUUCAAUCUAUAUACCCCUGAAACAAAGAGGGGAAGAUACAAAUUUUAAUGACUUUAAAAAUAAAAUCAUUUCAGCUACUUUAUUUACUCAGCAGUCCCUUCCUCUCCCCUCCUGCAGGCGUAUGCCCCAGGGAGCAAGACUUGCCUAUCACCAGCUCUUGCAGCCUAGCAGCACUGCAGUGAGUGCUGUUAUGUGACUGAUCCUCAAAGACAAAUGAUUCAGGGACGAAGCUGAGAGAGUGCUGGGCCUGGUGUCAGGGGUCAGGAAUUCUAGUCUCAGUGUUCCAACUGGCUACUGUCUGGCCGACGUCCAUGCAUGUCAUCUCUCUAAGCCUGACUUUCUUCAUCUUUGCAAUGGUGUAACUUGGACUAGAUAAACCCUAUAGGUGAUGUCAGCUCUGGGAUUCCACGGCAUUUCUCAGUCGGCCAAGAUCUCAGUCACUUUGUUUUGUGCACUCUCAGAACAAGUGAGAAAUGACAGCUAAGUAUGAGCUGGGUACAGCUGAACUCUUGACAGGGCCUCCAGGUUCUUCACGAAUCAAAUGGAACACAUACAAGUGACUUAAAAGAUGGUUACACAGUAGGAAACGACCUCAGAAAUCCUUUGGCUUAAUCAUUGCUGCAAUGUAAAUAAAGGAAUGGCUUCUACAAAACUCUUGGUUUGAAUAUUCUCCAGUGCAGGAGAAAUCCCUACCUGACUGAGGGGAGAAAGUCAUUUGGGUAAGAAGUCAGAGUGGCUUGGCCUGGACCUGAAGCUUCCCAUUCUCAGCUCUUUUCUCUGGGAAUACAUGGGCAACAUCCACUUCCCUUCUGUAUUGCCCUAUGGGAUAGAGGAUAGUCCCGUCUUUGUUCAAUUUUUUCCUUUGGUCAUUACACUGGGUUGUAUUUACCAGGACUAGAGGGAAAUUUAACUGGUUUGGGAUUUUGAGGCAGGAAGACAGAAUUCUGGCUCUGUCUGCUGUUAACUCACUGUAUGGUCCAGGACAAGUAGUUUCUAUUCAGACUCACAUACUAUUUUCUUCUUAGAAUAGGGUGAUGGAAGAGAUGGAAGUGAGGGAAUCUCAGAGCUGGGGAAGCUGCAAGCAGAGUUGUUAGAGUGGGGCCAGGCAUAAAUUUCCCUGCUCUGACUUACAUUCUUGUCACUAGUGCAAAAUGACUCUGGGGCUCAUGGUUCACUGAAUUUUCCAAAGGGCUAAUUUCCAAUAUGAUGGAAUGAUAUUAGUAUUCAGGAUAACAAUGUACACUUAAUGAGAAUUCUGCUGAAAAUGAAAAACAAUUCCAGCACCUCGACUCUAAAAGAUCAGGAAAUCUGGAGGCAAAAUAUGCCUGCAUAUGUUUUGUGAAGUACAGAGUAUAAACAAACCUGUCCUAAACAUUAAUCCCCAGUGUCACACCCAUGGAAACGGGGUUGCACAAGCACUUGAGAAAAUACAUUGCAAGAGCAUGUUGGCAUCAGCCAUCCCUCUUGCAUAGUGAGCUAGUUGAACUUUUCAUCCAGAGUGAUUGAGAAGCAUAGAGUUGGAAUUUCCUCCUGGUGAUUGAAAUCAAGCCACAGGCUCUGGAACGCCCUCUUACUGAACUGAACCUGAGAUGUUUCAGGAAAUGAAAAGACAUGGUUUUUUUCCUGUUGUACUUUAAUUAAAAAAAAAAUUAGAAAUUUAGUAACCUACCGAUUCUGUUUUCCCACAUAGAUUAAAACCAGGCUAAGGUCAAAAUGUGAGCGGCGCAUGAAUUUUGACCAUGUUCUGGACUGUGGAGGAACACAUACUUUUCAAGCAAGAAGGCUCCAAAGAAGGUUUUGUCUUCCUUUGUGUAAUCCACCAAAGAGAUGUUGCUGACGUUCACCAUCAGCUUGUCCCCUUCCUGCAAGGAGAACAUGGCCCCAAGGGUUUCUUCUGCAACUGUGGCACUUGUCCCAGAAGUGUGUGGAGUCUUUUUGGCCCCAUACUACAUGACCCCUGGAAAGCUUUGGUGCUAUUUUGCAAAUUCAUGCAAAUAAUUUUAUUAA